GGCGCAUUAGUAAAUCCAUUACAUGGACCUGUCAAGACCAAAUCACAGGUGAAACCCCUGUAUGCCCCA
rnacentral:tRNA from 1 species